rnacentral:rRNA from 1 species
GACGAACGCUGGCGGCGUGCUUAACACAUGCAAGUCGAACGGAAAGGCCCUGCUUUUGUGGGGUGCUCGAGUGGCGAACGGGUGAGUAACACGUGAGUAACCUGCCCUUGACUUUGGUAUAACUUCAGGAAACUGGGGCUAAUACCGGAUAGGAGCUCCUGUUGCAUUGUGGGGGUUGGAAAGUUUCGGCGGUUGGGGAUGGACUCGCGGCUUAUCAGCUUGUUGGUGGGGUAGUGGCUUACCAAGGCUUUGACGGGUAGCCGGCCUGAGAGGGUGACCGGCGACAUUGGGACUGAGAUACGGCCCAGACGCGUACGGGAGGCAGCAGGGGGGAAUAUUGCCCAAUGGGCGGAAGCCUGAUGCAGCAACGCCGCGUUCGGGAUGACGGCCUGCUGGUUGUAAACCGCUUUCGCCUGUGACGAAGCGUGAGUGACGGUAAUGGGUAAAGAAGCACCGGCUAACUACGUG